rnacentral:rRNA from 1 species
GAUCAUGGCUCAGGAUGAACGCUAGCUACAGGCUUAACACAUGCAAGUCGAGGGGAAACGACAUCGAAAGCUUGCUUUCGAUGGGCGUCGACCGGCGCACGGGUGAGUAACGCGUAUCCAACCUGCCCACCACUUGGGGAUAACCUUGCGAAAGUAAGACUAAUACCCGAUGAUAUCUCUAGAAGACAUCUGAAAGGGAUUAAAGAUUUAUCGGUGAUGGAUGGGGAUGCGUCUGAUUAGCUUGUUGGCGGGGUAACGGCCCACCAAGGCGACGAUCAGUAGGGGUUCUGAGAGGAAGGUCCCCCACAUUGGAACUGAGACACGGUCCAAACUCCUACGGGAGGCAGCAGUGAGGAAUAUUGGUCAAUGGGCGAGAGCCUGAACCAGCCAAGUAGCGUGCAGGACGACGGCCCUAUGGGUUGUAAACUGCUUUUAUAAGGGAAUAAAGUGAGUCUCGUGAGACUUUUUGCAUGUACCUUAUGAAUAAGGACCGGCUAAUUCCGUG